GACGAACGCUGGCGGCGUGCUUAACACAUGCAAGUCGUACGGUAAGGCCCUUUCGUGGGUCCACGAGUGGCGAACGGGUGAGUAACACGUGAGUAACCUGCCCACAACUUUGGGAUAACGCUAGGAAACUGGUGCUAAUACUGGAUAUGUGCUCCUGCUGCAUGGUGGGGGUUGGAAAGCUCCGGCGGUUGUGGAUGGACUCGCGGCCUAUCAGCUUGUUGGUGGGGUAGUGGCCUACCAAGGCGGCGACGGGUAGCCGGCCUGAGAGGGUGACCGGCCACAUUGGGACUGAGAUACGGCCCAGACUCCUACGGGAGGCAGCAGUGGGGAAUAUUGCACAAUGGGCGCAAGCCUGAUGCAGCAACGCCGCGUGCGGGAUGACGGCCUUCGGGUUGUAAACCGCUUUCAGCAGGGACGAAGCUUUUUGUGACGGUACCUGCAGAAGAAGCACCGGCUAACUACGUG
rnacentral:rRNA from 1 species